rnacentral:ncRNA from 1 species
UUGUCUUCGGGGCGGGGUGAGAUUCCCCACCGGCGGUAUAGUCCGCGAGCGGCGAGAGCUGCAUGAACCGGUGUGAUUCCGGUACCGACAGUAUAGUCUGGAUGAGAGAAGGCG